rnacentral:rRNA from 1 species
UGGGGAAUCUUCCGCAAUGGACGAAAGUCUGACGGAGCAACGCCGCGUGAGUGAUGACGGCCUUCGGGUUGUAAAGCUCUGUUAAUCGGGACGAAUGGUUCUUGUGCAAAUAGUGCGAGGAUUUGACGGUACCGGAAUAGAAAGCCACGGCUAACUACGUGCCAGCAGCCGCGGUAAUACGUAGGUGGCAAGCGUUGUCCGGAAUUAUUGGGCGUAAAGCGCGCGCAGGCGGAUUGGUCAGUCUGUCUUAAAAGUUCGGGACUUAACCCCGUGAUGGGAUGGAAACUGCCAAUCUAGAGUAUCGGAGAGGAAAGUGGAAUUCCUAGUGUAGCGGUGAAAUGCGUAGAUAUUAGGAAGAACACCAGUGGCGAAGGCGACUUUCUGGACGAAAACUGACGCUGAGGCGCGAAAGCCAGGGGAGCGAACGGG